UGACUAGAGAGGAAGAAAGAAGCCUGUCCUUAUUCUCAGAGGAUAUUACCUACAAAGGAAUUUCCCAGCCCAAGCUAAUGAGUGAGCUCAGUUCUUGGUCCCGGGGAAGAGCCAGAGGUCUGACCAGCCCAUCGGUCCUCUCUCAUCUCUGACCCCAAAGCCACUAAUAUUGUCUUCUGAGUAGGAAUGUGGCCUUCCUAGCUGAGAAGUCAGUCUGUGACAGGACGACAUUCCCAGAGGGUCAGUGUCCUCCACACUUUCUGAGCAGACGCAGGUGCUCUGUGAGCCGGAGG